GUGGGAUAGGAAAACCAACUGAUUCUGGGAUUAUCCUCUUUCGACCAUCAGGUCUUCUGUACUCUCUUUGUUUCACAGGACUUGACAAGCGUGUAGAAGCUGCGGGUUUAGCUAAACUAUCACUGUUAACUCCUUCAGUCUUUUUCCCAUUAUCAGAUUGUGGUUUGGGAACAAUCACCACACUACCCAAAUCAACAGAUGAUUUUGACGUUGCUUGAACUUGCGGAAGAACCGUAGUUAGUUUUUUGCUUGAAGUCUGCUUUGCAGCUGCUGCUUCAAGCAACAGUUGUG
rnacentral:misc_RNA from 1 species